rnacentral:rRNA from 1 species
GACGGAGGGGGCUAGCGUUGUUCGGAAUUACUGGGCGUAAAGAGCGCGCAGGCGGCUAGUCAAGUCCGAUGUGAAAUCUCCCGGCUUAACUGGGAAACUGCAUCGGAAACUGAUCGGCUUGAAGGUGGGAGAGGGUAGUGGAAUUCCCGGUGUAGUGGUGAAAUGCGUAGAUAUCGGGAGGAACACCAGUGGCGAAGGCGACUACCUGGCCCAUUCUUGACGCUGAGGCGCGAAAGCUAGGGGAGCGAACGGG